GACGAACGCUGGCGGCGUGCUUAACACAUGCAAGUCGAACGGAAAGGCCCUGCUUUUGUGGGGUGCUCGAGUGGCGAACGGGUGAGUAACACGUGAGUAACCUGCCCUUGACUUUGGGAUAACUUCAGGAAACUGGGGCUAAUACCGGAUAGGAGCUCCUGCUGCAUGGUGGGGGUUGGAAAGUUUCGGCGGUUGGGGAUGGACUCGCGGCUUAUCAGCUUGUUGGUGGGGUAGUGGCUUACCAAGGCUUUGACGGGUAGCCGGCCUGAGAGGGUGACCGGCCACAUUGGGACUGAGAUACGGCCCAGACUCCUACGGGAGGCAGCAGUGGGGAAUAUUGCACAAUGGGCGGAAGCCUGAUGCAGCAACGCCGCGUGCGGGAUGGUGGCCUUCGGGUUGUAAACCGCUUUCGCCUGUGACGAAGCGUGAGUGACGGUAAUGGGUAAAGAAGCACCGGCUAACUACGUG
rnacentral:rRNA from 1 species